GUUUUACCGAUGCUCCGAGGACGCGAGUGUAUAAAAACACCUUUACUCCGAGGACGUAAAUUUCUCCCGAGGACUUUUUUCGGGUCCUCGGAAAGAUUCUGUCCCAAUCAACUCAAAAUGACGAAAUAUAUCAUGUGGUGAAAUUUGGUGAAAGUCCUCAGAAGGUCGGUAAAAUGUGAAUGUGCGUUUCCCGGUCACACAGUUUUAUCGGACGCCAUAACACACACUUGUUGUUUUCGAUGCGCGCGCAUCUCGGCGGCGGAAGUGAUGAUCAAUCAAGAUCUCUGGAGGUCGUAAAACGCCGCCACUGUCCAGCGGGAGAGAAAAUUGUCAGUUGACCAUAGCAUCACAAGUUACUGUGGAUUCUGGUUAUUUUAAAAGUGAAAAUCAUGAAGAACUUUCGUGUAUUAUUUAGGGAUGGAGGACGGGUGCCAUGUUUACAUUCGCAACGAACAUAAGCAGACCAGUCUAUUUGUUUUCUGGGGGAUAUGACGAUAGGACCAUAUCUAUAGCUGUGUGAUGGGAGGUGAAUUUCAUCAUGACCUAAUGAUGGAAGAAGUAUAAUUGACAGAGUAUCAUGGAAUCCUUGUAACCAACCUUUUCUUGUUGAUGUGGAUUUUUUAAAUUAAGGAAACUGACUAAAAAAAUUACAUGCUGAAGGAUCAAGAAAAUGAUUCCAAUAAAAGAACUAAAAAGCCAUUUCACCAGUUAAAAGUGUGGAUGAUAUUCAGUGUGUUCAAAAAGUUGAAUAUAUAUAUACACAAAAAUGCAUUGAUUAGGAUGCAAAUUUGAUACAGAUUUAAGAAUCAUACAGUGUCAAGAUUCAUCAAUAGUGUGAAACAAUUUAUCAAUAAUAUGGCAACAUGCGACUGAUAUUGGAUUAGACAUCAACUUAUGAGGAAAUCUCAAGAAAAGAGUUGGACAUAAUACCAAAGAUAUGAAUGGAAUACAAAUGGAAAAGAAUCACCAUGGCCCAUACUAGAUGCAACUUGAAGUUGAACACUUUCGUGCAAUUUAUAAUAACUGCAUGCUUGAUAAAUUGGAAUGAUAAGUUUUCAGUCCAUACAUAUAACUUAAUUUAAUUUUGGGAAAUUUUAUCAAAGCUGAAUUUAAAAUUGCAUGUGAAUGUUUAUUUUUGUAUGUAGUCAGUACAUAUUAUAUUGUGGAAUCAUCGUGGUUGUGGGGGACCAAUGUUCAUGGCUUUCGUGAGUAACUGGCUUGCACACAAAUUUACAUCCCCUUCAAUGUAUACACAAGCAAAUAUUUAGUAUGUAUUGAUAAAAUAGAACUUGCUACUGAAGAAAUUACCUCCCCAUGAACUAGGAACAGUUUGGUAACCAACGGACAUUGACCCCCACAAAUAAAAAUGAUUCCACAGUACUACAUGUACGGUACAUAGAAAUUAUCAUAAUUAAUUUAGCUUCUAAAAAUGAACAUGUCUGAAAUAUAUUUAUUUGAAAUCAUUUAAAUUUUGUUUAAGAAUGAAUUUGUUACAGA